rnacentral:lncRNA from 1 species
UCAACACUAAGAACAGGAAGGGACGGAGUGAGGAGGGGUUUUUAUUUUUAUAUUUUUUAAAUUAUUUAUGUAUUUCUUUUAUAUUUUUUGGAAUUAGGAUUAAAUUGAGAUUAUUUAUAGAUUUUAAGGGUUAUUUUUAAAAAAAUUUAACUGUUAUGUCCCAUUAUACCCUUCUUAACAGUACUUAAUGGAAAUGGACAAAAAAAAAUCUCG